rnacentral:rRNA from 1 species
CCACUAGAUGUUCUGGGCCGCACGCGCGCUACACUGAACAGUUCAACAAGUCUUAACCUUGGCCGAUAGGUCUGGGUAAUCUUUGAACGCUGUUCGUGAUUGGGAUAGACCUUUGCAAUUAUGGGUCUUCAACGAGGAAUUCCUAGUAAACGCAAGUCAUCAGCUUGCAUUGAUUACGUCCCUGCCCUUUGUACACACCGCCCGUCGCACCUACCGAUUGAAUGGUCCGGUGAAAUCUCGGGACGGCGGCUUGGUCGCUUGCGUCCGACUGCUGAAACUUGAUUAAACCAUAUCAUUUAGAGGAAGGUGAAGUCGUANCA